AUUGAACGCUGGCGGCAGGCCUAACACAUGCAAGUCGAACGAGUGGCGGACGGGUGAGCAAUGUCUGGGAAACUGCCCGAUGGAGGGGGAUAACUACUGGAAACGGUAGCUAAUACCGCAUAACAUCGGAGGUUCCCGGAUGGGAUUAGCUAGUAGGUGGGGUAACGGCUCACCUAGGCGACGAGCCCUAGCGGGUCUGAGAGGAUGACCAGCCACACUGGAACUGAGACACGGUCCAGACUCCUACGGGAGGCAGCAGUGGGGAAUAUUGCCCAAUGGGCGCAAGCCUGAGGCAGCCAUGCCGCGUGUAUGAAGAAGGCCUUCGGGUUGUAAAGUACUUUCAGCGGGGAGGCGUUACCCGCAGAAGAAGCACCGGCUAACUCCGUGCCAGCAGCCGCGGUAAUUC
rnacentral:rRNA from 1 species